GUCCACGCCCUAAACUAUGUCGACUAGUUGUUGGGGGAGUCUGUCCCUCAGUAACGUAGCUAACGCGUGAAGUCGACCGCCUGGGGAGUACGGUCGCAAGAUUAAAACUCAAAGGAAUUGACGGGGACCCGCACAAGCGGUGGAUUAUGUGGAUUAAUUCGAUGCAACGCGAAGAACCUUACCUACCCUUGACAUGCCAGGAACCCUGUAGAGAUGCAGGGGUGCCCGAAAGGGAACCUGGGCACAGGUGCUGCAUGGCUGUCGU
rnacentral:rRNA from 1 species